rnacentral:rRNA from 1 species
UGGUGGAGCGAUUUGUCUGGUUAAUUCCGAUAACGAACGAGACUCUAGCCUGCUAAAUAAGUCUGCGGAUCGCUUCGUCUGCAGUACUUCUUAGAGGGACAAGCGGCAUAUAGCCGCACGAAAAUGAGCAAUAACA